CCAAAUCCAAUUCCUAUGUCUGAGAGCGCUGUCCAAAUGCUCCCUGAGCUCCGGCACUCGGGGCCGUGCCCACUGCCCUGGGCAGGCUGUUCCAUGCCCACUGCCCUCUGGUGCAGACCCUUUCCCUCACCCCCAGCUGCCCCUCCCCUGACCUGAACCCCUUAGGUUCUAUUCUAAUCUCUCAUCAAAGAUUUGGAGAACAUUUUGAAGGGAUAUUGCAAUUUUUGAUCCAGCAUGUGUGCAUCUUUUGUGAAUAUUCUGUCAGAAGGCCAUGACAAAUGCUAAUACAUGUCUGCAGAAGCCACGUGAAGUCUCUGCAUUUACCUUGGCACCACAGAUACUGAGAGGAGCUGCUGGAAGGAACGGGGCUCUGCCCACGCCGCAGCCAAACCCUGCUGGGAAGCAUCGCAGCUGCAGCUGAAGAGUGGUGAAAGGCAGGAGCUGGGGCAGAGGAGACCCGAGGAGAGCGGAGAAGGAAGACACCUGCAGCAGAAGAGGGUUCCCAUGGCGUGUGCCCGCCCGCCUUAGCCCCGGGAAGGUGAUGUGGUUAGCGCUG
rnacentral:lncRNA from 1 species